GCUCCUGUGGCGUAGUGGUUAGAAUGUUCGCCUCGGAUGCGGGAGGUCGCAGGUUCGAACCACGCCGAGUCA